rnacentral:rRNA from 1 species
UACGUAGGGUGCGAGCGUUGUCCGGAAUUACUGGGCGUAAAGAGCUCGUAGGUGGUUUGUCGCGUUGUUCGUGAAAACUCACAGCUUAACUGUGGGCGUGCGGGCGAUACGGGCAGACUGGAGUACUGCAGGGGAGACUGGAAUUCCUGGUGUAGCGGUGGAAUGCGCAGAUAUCAGGAGGAACACCGGUGGCGAAGGCGGGUCUCUGGGACGGUACUGACGCCGAGACGCGAAAGCGUGGGGAGCGAACAGG